AUGUAAACACCUCCAUAGUUGCUGAUCUAAUUCUUCGAUAGUUCUUCUUGUAAUUGUUAUCCUAGCUUUGCAGAAUUGUACUCCUAGCACACCAUAGAUGCUGAUGUCGAUUCGAAGUUUUUCUUUUUUUUUUUUCACUCUUUGGCAGGAUUUACCGGCAUUCCUCAAAUUACAACGAUCGGUGUUCCCAAUCUAGAUAAGUAUUUUCAUUCUUUGUGCUUAAACCUAGAUGAUAUUGUAAUUCUUAAAUGAAUUUGUUCGCAUUUGAGGUAGUAUAUAUUUUGAUUUCGUAAUUUUUUGAUUUUUUUAAAGAAUCAUAUGCCGAUUCAUCUUGCAUGUUGUUCUAUUGUGUGAUUUUGGACUUAUCUAUGCUAUUUUGUAGUCAUUCAGGUUUUCAAUUUGUAAAUGUAAGUUCUUGUUUGAAUUACAAUUGCUCCAAAAAAAAACUCCACAGUUUUCCACAGUCUAUGUUGGCUUAGAUCCAUAAUUUCUAUUUUUUUAUCAUCCUACCGUAGUUUUUCCCUAUAUUUCGAAUGUGGAAGAUAAUCUAUAAAUUAUGGAUUUUUUGCUACGAAUUGCUGUAGAAGAUUACAACAAUUGUGAUUGUUGUUCAAUAUUUUCUAAUCUCUGAUCUGUUAUAUGAAUAGUUACUUAUGUUACAUAAUCCCUAAUUUGUUUUAAAUUACUUACACAUACUAUGAAAUAUAUAUAAUGGUAUUUCAAUCUUGCAGUUAAAGGCAGCAUAUGUUGUAUUACAUAUUAAAAUGCUAGGCGGACUUUCAUACUAUAUAGUCAGCAAUUUUGCUUAGGUCAGGUUAAUAUUAAUUGAUAGCUUACAUACCAAAACUGUAAUUGAUAUAAAAUGGUACUUCAAUCUUGCAGGUAAAGGCAACUUAUGUUGUAUUACAUAUUAAAAUGCUAGGCUUUGGACCUUCACACCUCACAGUUAGCAAAUCUGCUGAGGUAAGGUAAUAUUAAUUGAUAGAUUAAGGGUUGGUUACUGUAUUUUUUUAAGUUUGAUUUUACUUAUGUCAAACUAACUACUUAAUCAUGGUUAAGCUAUGUUAAUUUAAAAACUAAUACAAUUAUUACAAUUUGAUUUAUGAGAAUGAUGUACACAGGAUAUAGCAUGUAACUUAGCAACUUUGACAGCAAUGACCAAAUUAAAAUACAUAACUUUGGACCUACCUUAACACCCCACAGUAAUCAAUUCUGAGGAGGUAAGUAAACUACUAAUUUAUUGAUUAAGGGUUGAUUACUCUAUUUUUUUUAAUUUCCUUUUACUUAUAUGCCAAUUGUACUACUUAAUCAUGAUUAUAAUUAUUCAGGAAUUAGAAUUUAAUUUAUCAAAAUGAUAUACACAGGGUUAUAUCAUGUUACUUUUCAAAUUUAUUAUACCCAGUAGGCUUUGAAUAGAUUACAUAUAACUUCAAAACACAGUUCUAACCGCUGUAGUUUUGAUAAACUUUACAAUUUUUUCUAGAACACUUGAUGACCAAUCAGAUUUCAACUUUGACAACACUUUCCCUAAUUUUCUACAAUUCCUUGGUUGAUGAGAACUCAUCCACUAAGGACUUCUUGACAGGGCCUUCAAUACCCUCAUGUGGUAUGGUCAUUCCAAGAGAGGCAACAGAACUGUCUGCCUCAUCACCUAGGAAACCCUGAAAUUUCAUCCAUUAUUUUAAAAAAAAAACCUUUCAGUUACAUGUCAUCGCAUGAUAAUUAAGAACAACUAUCAUUGAGUGAUAGACUGAUUGUUGAUUACCUCAUCAGAAUCAUCAUCCCCAUCACUUAAAUGGUAUUCAGAUGUCAAAUCUUUAUCUUGGGCAUUUAACAGUACUGGGCAAUGUUGAGACACCAAAGUCUGAUCAUUGUUAAUUCUGAGAACUGGAAAUGCAUUGUGUCUGUUGACAUGUUGUUCUUUCCUUGCUGCUUUUCUAAAUAGCAUUGUGUGCCCCCACCAAAUCAAGUAUUUCCUUGGGAAAUUUAUGAGUUCUCUGUUAAAGGUUAAAUAAUUAAUAACAAUUCUACUAUAAGACACUAUUGACAGUAAAAAAAACUUUUAUACUAUUUUUUCUUACCUCAGUAUGCUUGUCCAUCAAGCACUGUGCUCCAAUGCCAAGCAACUCAUUUGCUUCGCUAUUCCAAAGGAGUAAUGAAGCAUAUCCAUUCAUAUCAACAACCCUAAUCCUCAAUCUGUACCUUAAAAUACCAUCACACCAGCCCUUGAGACAUUUAUCACACUUGUUCAUUCCAUCACUGACAAUAAGUUACUUGUUGUAGCCCCUAGUUUUGCAAGAGCUAUAACACCAAUCAUUUGUGCUUUCAAUUCCAGAUAUCAUGAUAGUUAAAAGAUUAAAAAAUAAAGCUACUAAACAUAUCUCGAUGUUUAUACACUACCAUAAAUCAGAAACUACCUCCUCCUCAUAGAUUUCACUUAAAGUAACAACAUUAAUUGAACAACUUGUAGAAUGCUCAAUAGUGUUGCUGUAACUCAGAUUGGACAUGAAAUUAAUACUCCUCAUUGUAGUCUGAUGCUCUAUUUCCCUGAGACUAUUAGGCCAAAAUAUUAAUGAGUUUCUUUUAAAAAGACAGUAAAUACUAAAUAGGUAUGUGUAACUAAAGAAAAAGAUAUCUUUCCUUAAAACUACUAAAUUCAGGAGUAUCCAAGUUAAACAGUACUUGGGUUACAACGUAUGAGGAGCGCAGUUUCACCUCACCGUCUGCAAGUAAUAAUUGAAUAAAGAACUGCAACAACACCACAAUUGGAUCUGUGAAAUCUGAUUGGUAGAAUGGCUCCACUUUAGAGACAUUGUCUACUAUAUGACGGUGCAACACCAAAA